UACGAAGGGGGCUAGCGUUGCUCGGAAUCACUGGGCGUAAAGCGCACGUAGGCGGAUUGCUAAGUCAGGGGUGAAAUCCUGGAGCUCAACUCCAGAACUGCCUUUGAUACUGGCGACCUUGAGUCCGGGAGAGGUGAGUGGAACUGCGAGUGUAGAGGUGAAAUUCGUAGAUAUUCGCAAGAACACCAGUGGCGAAGGCGGACUCACUGGCC
rnacentral:rRNA from 1 species